rnacentral:rRNA from 1 species
AUUGAACGCUGGCGGCAGGCCUAACACAUGCAAGUCGAGCGGAUGAGAGGAGCUUGCUCUUCGAUUCAGCGGCGGACGGGUGAGUAAUGCCUAGGAAUCUGCCUAGUAGUGGGGGACAACGUUUCGAAAGGAACGCUAAUACCGCAUACGUCCUACGAGAGAAAGUGGGGGAUCUUCGGACCUCACGCUAUUAGAUGAGCCUAGGUCGGAUUAGCUAGUUGGGAGGGUAAAGGCCUACCAAGGCGACGAUCCGUAACUGGUCUGAGAGGAUGAUCAGUCACACUGGAACUGAGACACGGUCCAGACUCCUACGGGAGGCAGCAGUGGGGAAUAUUGGACAAUGGGCGAAAGCCUGAUCCAGCCAUGCCGCGUGUGUGAAGAAGGCCUUCGGGUCGUAAAGCACUUUAAGUUGGGAGGAAGGGCUCAUAGCGAAUACCUGUGAGUUUUGACGUUACCAACAGAAUAAGCACCGGCUAACUUCGUGCCAGCAGCCGCCGUAA